AACGUAGGAGGCGAGCGUUAUCCGGAUUUACUGGGCGUAAAGCGCACGCAGGCGGCUGGGCAAGUCGGAUGUGAAAGCUCCUGGCUUAACUGGGAGAGGCCAUUCGAAACUGCUCGGCUUGAGGUUGGGAGAGGGGUGCGGAAUUCCCGGUGUAGUGGUGGAAUGCGUAGAUAUCGGGAGGAACACCAGUGGCGAAAGCGGCACCCUGGCCCACACCUGACGCUGAUGUGCGAAAGCGUGGGUAG
rnacentral:rRNA from 1 species